GCGGGGAUGGCAGAGCGGUCUAAUGCGCACGCCUGGAAAGCGUGUUCCUUCACAGGAGCAUGGGUUCAAAUCCCAUUCCCCGCG
rnacentral:tRNA from 1 species